UACGGGGGGAGCAAGCGUUGUUCGGAUUUACUGGGCGUAAAGCGUGCGCAGGCGGUUGUGCAAGACAGAUGUGAAAUCCCCGGGCUUAACCUGGGAACUGCAUUUGUGACUGCACGGCUAGAGUGUGUCAGAGGGGGGUAGAAUUCCACGUGUAGCAGUGAAAUGCGUAGAUAUGUGGAGGAAUACCGAUGGCGAAGGCAGCCCCCUGGGAUAACACUGACGCUCAUACACGAAAGCGUGGGGAGCAACAGG
rnacentral:rRNA from 1 species